GUGAAGCUUGCGGUUUAAUUGGAGUCAACGCCGGAAAUCUCACCGGGGGCGACAGCAGGAUGAAAGCCAGAUUAAAGGUCUUGCCAGACGAGCUGAGAGGAGGUGCAUGGCCGUCGCCAGUUCGUGCCGUGAGGUGUCCUGUUAAGUCAGGCAACGAUCGAGACCCGCAUCCCCCGUUGCUACCAGCUUUGAGCUGGGCACACUGGGGAGACCGCCGUCGAUAAGACGGAGGAAGGAGCGGGCCACGGCAGGUCAGUAUGCCCCGAAUCUCCCGGGCCACACGCGAGCUGCAAUGGCAGGUACAAUGGGUUCCGACCUCGAAAGGGGAAGGAAAUCUCGAAAGCCUGCCGUAGUUGGGAUCGAGGGUUGAAACCCACCCUCGUGAACAUGGAAUCCCUAGUAAUCGCGCGUCACUAGCGCGCGGUGAAUACGUCCCUGCUCCUUGC
rnacentral:rRNA from 1 species